UGGGGAAUAUUGCACAAUGGAGGGAACUCUGAUGCAGCGACGCCGCGUGAACGAAGAAUGCUUUCGAGUCGUAAAGUUCUUUUAUAUGGGAAGAUAAUGACGGUACCAUAAGAAAAAGCCCCGGCUAACUACGUGCCAGCAGCCGCGGUAAUACGUAGGGGGCUAGCGUUGUCCGGAAUCACUGGGCGUAAAGGGUUCGCAGGCGGAAAUGCAAGUCAGGUGUAAAAGGCAGUAGCUUAACUACUGUAAGCAUUUGAAACUGCAUAUCUUGAGAAGAGUAGAGGUAAGUGGAAUUUUUAGUGUAGCGGUGAAAUGCGUAGAUAUUAAAAAGAAUACCGGUGGCGAAGGCGGCUUACUGGGCUCAUUCUGACGCUGAGGAACGAAAGCGUGGGUAGCAAACAGG
rnacentral:rRNA from 1 species